AUGGAAACCUUGGAUCGUGAAACACUCACUAGAUUGACAGUAACCUUGUGGGCAAUCUGGUUUGCUCGGAGACAGCUUAUUCAUGAAGGAAUACAUCAAAGUCCACAUGAGACACACAGGUUUGUGCUGAAUUAUCUAGCUGACCUAGCCCAGCUAGAGCCGGUGCAAGAGACACAAAGAAAUACAAGUCAUCGGCAUGCUAGGCAGGCUCCAAGAUGGGUCCCACCCCCAGAGGGUUUUGUGAAGAUCUAUGUAGACGCUGGAGUUUCGGAGGGAGCAAACACUGGAACAACGGCAGCUUUAUGUCGUGAUCGGGAUGGAACUUAUUUGGGUUCCUCCAUGUUGGUAAUUGAGGGGCUGACGGAUCCAACUACACUAGAGGCAAUAGCAUGUAGAGAGGGCAUGGCUUUGGCUUUGGACCUGGGAACGAAUCAUAUACAGAUUGCUUCAGACUGUAAGCAGGUAGUAAAUCAUAUCCAUCAGAGAGCUGGGGCGAUCAUGGCGUUAUCAUCAAAGAGAUCUUACAAACCUCCAACUUAUUCACGACUUGUAAUUUUUUCCUUUAAACCUCGGGAGUCGAACUAUGAGGCUCAUAGACUUGCUAGAUUUGGUAUUUCACUUCCUGCUGGAAGGCAUUUGUGGUUGGGUAUCCAGCAUGACCCAAUUGUAAUACCUAUAAACAUUCUAGAUGAUCAAUAA
rnacentral:rRNA from 1 species